rnacentral:rRNA from 1 species
AGCCCUUGACAUACCGGUCGCGGACACAGAGAUGUGUCUUUCAGUUCGGCUGGACCGGAUACAGGUGCUGCAUGGCUGUCGUCAGCUCGUGUCGUGAGAUGUUGGGUUAAGUCCCGCAACGAGCGCAACCCUCGCCUUUAGUUGCCAUCAUUUAGUUGGGCACUCUAAAGGGACUGCCAGUGAUAAGCUGGAGGAAGGUGGGGAUGACGUCAAGUCCUCAUGGCCCUUACGGGCUGGGCUACACACGUGCUACAAUGGUGGUGACAGUGGGCAGCAAGCACGCGAGUGUGAGCUAAUCUCCAAAAGCCAUCUCAGUUCGGAUUGCACUCUGCAACUCGAGUGCAUGAAGUUGGAAUCGCUAGUAAUCGCGG